rnacentral:rRNA from 1 species
UACGGGGGGGGGAAGCGUUGUUCGGAAUUACUGGGCGUAAAGGGCGCGUAGGCGGCCCGCUAAGUCGAACGUGAAAUCCCCAGGCUCAACCUGGGAACUGCGUCCGAUACUGGCAGGCUUGAAUCCGGGAGAGGGAUGUGGAAUUCCAGGUGUAGCGGUGAAAUGCGUAGAUAUCUGGAGGAACACCGGUGGCGAAGGCGGCAUCCUGGACCGGUAUUGACGCUGAGGCGCGAAAGCUAGGGGAGCAAACGGG